GCGCUCGUGGCGGAAUUGGUAGACGCGCUGCCUUGAGGUGGCAGUGAAGAAAUUCGUGAAGGUUCGAGUCCUUUCGAGCGCACCA
rnacentral:tRNA from 1 species